CCUGCAAGGCAAGGAGAGCAUCCUGCUGAGGGGAGAUCCAGGGCAUCCGGAGCAGUGAGGGGACCCACCUAAACAAAAUAUCCUGGGAAUCAUAGAAUCCUUUAGGUUGGAAGAGACCAUUUUAACGUCAUCGAGUCCAACUGUUUCCCAGCACAAGGCCACCACUAAACCAAGUCCCCAAGUGCCACAUCCACACGGCUUUUAAAUGGCUUUUAAAUCCCUCCACCACUGCCCUGGGCACCCUGUGCCAGUGCCUGACAACCCUUUUUGUGAAGAAAUUUUUUCUAACAUCCAAUCUAAACCUCCCCUGGGACAACUUGAGCCUCUCAUCCUAAAAUAAGCAUGUUUCCCUCUGGUUUUGUGUGUGUAGUGGCAAGUCCUGGCCCACCUCCUGUUUCCACUCCAGUGCUACCUCAUUCAAUGCAAAAGUCAGUGCAGGGAAGAGCAAGAGAUUUCCACCAGCAUUAAAAUGUCAAAAGAGCAGGUCAAAGUGUCAGAAUUCCUUGGAUAUUUUUCAGACAGAGCUGGGGCUCCUUGCACCCCCUUUCCUGGAUGGAAGCUCGCACCCAGCAAUCCCACUCUGCUGCUGGACCCUCAGUGUGGGAUGCUCCCUGAUGUACCCGCCCGCCUGCUGAGGCUGCUAUUUUGGGUGUUGUCACAUUUGGCCAGGUGCCACCGGGACAGGACAAGUCACAUGCUGCUGUCCCCGAGCUCUGAGGAGAGAGGCUCAGCAAGGGCCCUUUCCCAGGGACAGAGUUCACUGACAGUCCUUCAAGAGAGCAAACGGCGCCGGCUUUGCCAGCUCCAACCACUGCACCCCGAUGCUCUCACAGAAUGCACAAACUUCUCCAAUUCCAUCCAUUUCAUUUCAUUUUUAGGAUGAUUAUUUACACAGUUCAAAGGUGGCUGCUGAGUUUUAAGUGCUGUAUAUAUUUUACUCACAGGAGCACAAGCAGUUUGUCUCCCUGAGCCUGGAGUAUUACCAGUUCCACUAGGAAGCCAUAAGCCCUUAAUUCACGUGGUACCUUUAUUGAACACCAAUUAAGAGUUUUAGGGCCUCCAACCCAGCUCUGACACAGACCAAAGGUGAGUUCUGCCAAUCUGUUUCGGGGAACCUGAACUCAUGGAGUUCACAGUACGCCUGAGCAAGGUGGAGACAAAGUCCUGUGACCUCAGGAACCAGUGACGGAUAUCUGCUGGCAAACACUUGGAACAGUUCACCCCAAGUGACCCAACUGCUCUCCAUUUAAGGAGGCUGGAAAUCAAAACGUGCCUGGUGUCAGAGGAAAGCUCUCAGGAUGAACAGGACCCAUCCCUGCUCUCCUCAGCAGCUUCAGGGGCUCUCAGCAGAGAGGCUGAGAACUCUACAAGCUCUUCAAGCUGGGGACAAAUACCACUCCAGGCAGAAGGAUUACUGCUAUCACCAAGCCUAAAUACGGAAGUAAUUUCUCAGUAAUUUCCUGCUCACAGGAGGAAGGUGAACAGUGAUGGUGUUGACACCUCAUCGACUGCCUGUGAAGAGAAAGGUCUGUGCAAACACAUUUCCCCAGUCUGUGCAAACACAUUUCCCCCAUCUUUAAACUCACCAAUGGGCACAAAAGGAGUCUCCUUAAACUUCCUUAUCAGCUUCGAGGUCUGGCUGCUGUCAGUCUCAUACUCAGGAUAAACAGAUUCCUGCCUGGGUGACAUGGUGGCUGUGAAGACAAAGAGCCUCCCUUCAGGUUUUAGAAGCCCCAAAUUAAGAGAAUCUUUGGGGAAAGAAAAUCCCUUGCAUAUUCCUUCAGUCACAGCUAUCCAGGUAGUGAGAUACAAGCACAGGAGCUAUGGACAGGUGAUUUAAUUCAAGUGAAGCCUUGGGAAGCAGGACUGUUACUUAACAGGAGAGGCAAGAACGGGACAGAACAAAAAAAAAUAGGGAAGCAACAGAUUUCUGCCACUCGUUUUCACACCUUUACAGAUUCCUGUGGCCCCCCCACACUCACAGGCAGCGAGAAGCCACAGAAAGCUUGGGCCACUGCCCGCCUUUCCUUUUAGGAAUUCCAUGCCACACCACUUGGCUUUCACAGGCUGUUCCUUUAUGGCAGCUCUGACCUCAGCAAAGUUCACAUCUCCCCUCUCACUCCCUGCCAAGAACAGCAAGCACAGGGAAGCGAGAGCCACUGCACAAGGUCAGCCCUGCCCGGCAGCUCCUCAGCUGCCUAUUCCACCUCAGCGUAAUUCCAGAUUCCUGGAGAACACAGGGAUGUACGACAGCCACCCCUGAGGAGCUGGAGCAAGUCUUGGAGCCCUCCAUAGGUGCAGACUCAUGGGGGGGACACAUCAGGAGGAGAAAUCAUGCACAGGUGAUUUCUCACCUGCCUCCCAGGAAAAUAAAAAGCAGCGACAGCCCUGAGAAAGGCUCCACUCACAGAACCAUCAUCACCAAACCAGUGAGAUCAUCCUUCAAAAAUGCCCAGCUUUUUGUGCUGGGAAUUACAUGGAUUACACCCAGACCUGUUCCCUCCUCAGUGGUCAGCAUAAACACCAUUCAGUGAUCGAUGAUUUCUGCCCAGCGACACCACAGAGGCCUCUGCUAGAAAAGUCUCCACUGUUACUGUUCCAGUUUUGACCACCAACACACUCCACAGCAAAACACAGCUCAGGGGCGCAUGGAAGGACUCCAAGCUCUCACAACAAACUACCAGGAAUUUCAUUUAAGCAGGGGCCAGUAACCAUCGGCAAAAAAGACGUUUCAAAGGUGGCUGCACUCCCUGGUUACGCAGCAUUUCCUGCACACCCAUGUGAGCAGACUGACUGGUUCUCAAACUAAAGGCUCAGACCAUUUCCUCUGCCAGGCCAAAGGAUUUGAUCUCUCUGUGCCUGCUACAACCACCCUGGUUUGUUAAAUGAGAGUUAUAAUUUUA